AACGAACGCUGGCGGCAUGCCUAACACAUGCAGGUCGAACGAUCCCUUCGGGGAUAGUGGCGCACGGGUGCGUAACGCGUGGGAACCUGCCCUUAGGUUCGGAAUAACUCAGAGAAAUUUGAGCUAAUACCGGAUAAUGCCUUCGGACCAAAGAUUUAUCGCCUUUGGAUGGGCCCGCGUUGGAUUAGCUAGUUGGUGGGGUAAAGGCCUACCAAGGCGACGAUCCAUAGCUGGUCUGAGAGGAUGAUCAGCCACACUGGGACUGAGACACGGCCCAGACUCCUACGGGAGGCAGCAGUGGGGAAUAUUGGACAAUGGGCGAAAGCCUGAUCCAGCAAUGCCGCGUGAGUGAUGAAGGCCUUAGGGUUGUAAAGCUCUUUUACCCGGGAUGAUAAUGACAGUACCGGGAGAAUAAGCCCCGGCUAACUCCGUG
rnacentral:rRNA from 1 species